AGAGAGAGACAUGCGCGCAUAUCAAUAAGCGGAGGAAAAGAAACUAACAAGGAUUCCCCUAGUAACGGCGAGUGAAGCGGGAAGAGCUCAAAUUUGAAAUCUUAAAGGGUUUCCCUUUACGAAUUGUAGUUUAAAGAAGUGUUUUCUGUUGAGGUUUUGGUAAAAGUUCUUUGGAAUAGGACAUCAUAGAGGGUGAGAAUCCCGUAUUUGACCUUUACUUUCAACUUUGUGAUACACUUUCAAAGAGUCGGAUUGUUUGGGAAUGCAGUCCAAAAUGGGUGGUAAAUUUCAUCUAAAGCUAAAUAUUGGCGAGAGACCGAUAGCGAACAAGUACCGUGAGGGAAAGAUGAAAAGAACUUUGAAAAGAGAGUUAAACAGUACGUGAAAUUGUCAAAAGGGAAGCGUUUGACACCAGUGUUGUUUUUCUGAAGAUCAAUUAAAGAACUGUUUAUGCUAAGCUGUUUAGACUUUAUCAGCUAUCUGUUUAGUUUUGAGCUUUUCUUUAAUGCACUUUUCAGUUAACAAGUCAACAUCAAUUUCUUUUGCUGUAAAAAAGCUUGAGGAAGGUGGCUUGAGAUUCGUCUUAAGUGUUUAUAGCCUCUUGCCUAUGCAGUCGGAGAGAUUGAGGUCUGCAGCGUAGAUCCUUCGGGGCUAAAUGCAUUUGUGCUAAGUUAUAGCAUUUUAUAGACAACUUGUUGACUAUGAUUUGUCUUGUAGCUUACUCGCUUAUGUUAUUUUACCUACGCUUAGGAUGUUGACGCAUGAGAUAUACGC
rnacentral:rRNA from 1 species